rnacentral:rRNA from 1 species
UACGUAGGGUCCGAGCGUUGUCCGGAAUUAUUGGGCGUAAAGAGCUCGUAGGCGGUGUGUCGCGUCGGCCGUGAAAACCUGCAGCUUAACUGUGGGCUUGCGGUCGAUACGGGCAUCACUGGAGUUCGGCAGGGGAGACUGGAAUUCCUGGUGUAGCGGUGAAAUGCGCAGAUAUCAGGAGGAACACUGGUGGCGAAGGCGGGUCUCUGGGCCGAUACUGACGCUGAGGAGCGAAAGCGUGGGGAGCGAACAGG